CCUACGGGGUGCAGCAGUGGGGGAUAUUGCACAAUGGGGGGAACCCUGAUGCAGCGACGCCGCGUGGGUCAAGAAGCGCCUCGGCGCGUAAAGCCCUGGCAGCAGGGAAGAAAAUGACGGUACCUGAAGAAGAAGCCCCGGCUAACUACGUGCCAGCAGCCGAGGUAAUACGUAGGGGGCAAGCGUUAUCCGGAUUUACUGGGUGGAAAGGGGGCGCAGACGGCAGUGCAAGUCCGGAGUGAAAGCCCGGGGCUCAACCCUGGGACUGCUCUGGAAACGGCAAAGCUGGAGUGCGGGAGGGGCAGGCGGAAUUCCUGGUGUAGCGGUGAAAUGCGUAGAUAUCAGGAGGCACACCGGCGGCGAAGGCGGCCUGCUGGACCGUAACUGACGUUGAGGCUCGAAAGCGUGGGGAGCAAACAGGAUUAGAUACCCCAGUAGUC
rnacentral:rRNA from 1 species